rnacentral:rRNA from 1 species
GAUCCUGGCUCAGGAUGAACGCUAGCUACAGGCUUAACACAUGCAAGUCGAGGGGCAGCAUGGUCUUAGCUUGCUAAGGCCGGUGGCGACCGGCGCACGGGUGAGUAACGCGUAUCCAACCUGCCUUACACUCUUGGACAGCCUUCUGAAAGGGAGAUUAAUACAAGAUGUUAUCAUGAGUAAGCAUUUUCACAUGAUUAAAGGUUUACCGGUGUAAGAUGGGGAUGCGUUCCAUUAG